GAUGAACGCUGGCGGCGUGCCUAAUACAUGCAAGUCGAGCGAACAGACGAGGAGCUUGCUCCUCUGACGUUAGCGGCGGACGGGUGAGUAACACGUGGAUAACCUACCUAUAAGACUGGGAUAACUUCGGGAAACCGGAGCUAAUACCGGAUAAUAUAUUGAACCGCAUGGUUCAAUAGUGAAAGACGGUUUUGCUGUCACUUAUAGAUGGAUCCGCGCCGCAUUAGCUAGUUCGUAAGGUAACGGCUUACCAAGGCAACGAUGCGUAGCCGACCUGAGAGGGGGAUCGGCCACACUGGAACUGAGACACGGUCCAGACUCCUACGGGAGGCAGCAGUAGGGAAUCUUCCGCAAUGGGCGAAAGCCUGACGGAGCAACGCCGCGUGAGUGAUGAAGGUCUUCGGAUCGUAAAACUCUGUUAUUAGGGAAGAACAAAUGUGUAAGUAACUAUGCACGUCUUGACGGUACCUAAUCAGAAAGCCACGGCUAACUACGUG
rnacentral:rRNA from 1 species